ACGAACGCUGGCGGCGUGCUUAACACAUGCAAGUCGAACGGAAAGGCCUCUUUCGGGGGGUACUCGAGUGGCGAACGGGUGAGUAACACGUGAGUAACCUGCCCUUGACUUUGGGAUAACUUCAGGAAACUGGGGCUAAUACCGGAUAGGAGCUCCUGCUGCAUGGUGGGGGUUGGAAAGUUUCGGCGGUUGGGGAUGGACUCGCGGCUUAUCAGCUUGUUGGUGGGGUAGUGGCUUACCAAGGCUUUGACGGGUAGCCGGCCUGAGAGGGUGACCGGCCACAUUGGGACUGAGAUACGGCCCAGACUCCUACGGGAGGCAGCAGUGGGGAAUAUUGCACAAUGGGUGGAAGCCUGAUGCAGCAACGCCGUGUGCGGGAUGACGGCCUUCGGGUUGUAAACCGCUUUCGCUCAUGACGAAGCUUUGUGUGACGGUAGUGGGUAAAGAAGCACCGGCUAACUACGU
rnacentral:rRNA from 1 species